rnacentral:tRNA from 1 species
GGUGGCUCAGUGGUAGAGUGCUUGCCUUGCAUGCAUGAGGUCCUGAGUUCGGUUCCUCAGUACCA